rnacentral:misc_RNA from 1 species
UAUCGAAAUACGAUAGUGAAUUAGGAAGAUGGAUUCAAAAGCAAUGCAAAGCAAAAGAGCGCGCUAUGGACUGUCGCUGGCAUUCAUUUGCAUGUGCACGUCCUGUUCUUCCCUUUCGCUUUCUUUCUGUCAACCUUUUUCUCUAAUCAAUUUACACCUGUGCACCCAUCGUAGUUCCUCGAAAGAGGUUCCAUGUCUUUUACCAUCACAUUCCUUCGUAUGUCCAUAGAAUGUUAUACAUGGCCAUCGAUCAAGCUUCGUCUUGGUCGGCUGGUCUAUAUAAACCAAUAUACAACUUUCAGCAACGGAUCUCUUGGCUCUCGCAUCGAUGAAGAACGCAGCGAAUUGCGAUAAGUAAUGUGAAUUGCAGAUUUCCAGUGAAUCAUCGAAUCUUUGAACGCACCUUGCGCUCCUUGGUAUUCCGAAGGGCAUGCCUGUUUGAGUAUCAUGAACACCUCAACUCUCAUGGUUUGCCAUGAUGAGCUUGGACUCUGGGGGUCUUGCUGGCCUGAUGGUCAGCUCCUCUCAAAUGAAUCAGCUUCCCAGUGUUUGGUGGCAUCACAGGUGUGAUAACUAUCUACGCUUGUGGUGUCCUCCCAGGUAACCUUCAGCAAUGGAGGUCACUGGAGCUAAUAAAUGCACAUCUCUCAUCGUAGAGACGGCUUUUUAGAUGUUUG